UACGUAGGUGGCGAGCGUUGUCCGGAUUUACUGGGCGUAAAGAGCGCGCAGGCGGUCGAUUUAGUCGCGUGUGAAAGCCCCCGGCUCAACUGGGGAGGGUCACGCGAUACUGAUCGACUCGAAGGCAGGAGAGGGUAGUGGAAUUCCCGGUGUAGUGGUGAAAUGCGUAGAUAUCGGGAGGAACACCAGUGGCGAAGGCGACUACCUGGCCUGUUCUUGACGCUGAGGCGCGAAAGCUAGGGGAGCAAACGGG
rnacentral:rRNA from 1 species